rnacentral:lncRNA from 1 species
AUGGGACCCACAUCUCCCCAUGGGACCCCCAAGUCCCCUUGGACCCCAUUAUGGGACCCACAUCUCCCCAUGGGACCCCCCUAUGGGACCCACAUCUCCCCAUGGGACCCCCAAAUCCUAUUGGGACCCACAUCUCCCCAUGGGACCCCCAAGUCCCCCCUUAUGGGACCCACAUCUCCCCAUGGGACCCCCAAGUCCUAUUGGGACCCCCUUAUGGGACCCACAUCUCCCCAUAGGACCCUCUUAUGGGACCCACAUCUCCCCUUGGGACCCCCAAGUCCUAUUGGGACCCUCUUAUGGGACCCACAUCUCCCCAUGGGACCCCUAAACCCUAUUGGGACCCCCAUAUCAAACCCUCUGGUCCUAUUGGGACCCCAAACCCUAUUGGGACCCUAA